rnacentral:rRNA from 1 species
UACGAGGGGGGCGAGCGUUGUUCGGAAUUAUUGGGCGUAAAGGGUGCGUAGGCGGUUUGUCGCGUCUGCUGUGAAAACCCGAGGCUCAACCUCGGGCCUGCAGUGGGUACGGGCAGACUAGAGUGCGGUAGGGGAGAUUGGAAUUCCUGGUGUAGCGGUGGAAUGCGCAGAUAUCAGGAGGAACACCAAUGGCGAAGGCAGAUCUCUGGGCCGUAACUGACGCUGAGGAGCGAAAGCAUGGGGAGCGAACAGG